GACGAACGCUGGCGGCGUGCUUAACACAUGCAAGUCGAACGGAAAGGCCCUUCGGGGUACUCGAGUGGCGAACGGGUGCGUAACACGUGGGUGAUCUGCCCUGCACUUUGGGAUAAGCCUGGGAAACUGGGUCUAAUACCGAAUAGGACCACGCGCUUCAUGGUGUGUGGUGGAAAGCUUUUGCGGUGUGGGAUGGGCCCGCGGCCUAUCAGCUUGUUGGUGGGGUAAUGGCCUACCAAGGCGACGACGGGUAGCCGGCCUGAGAGGGUGACCGGCCACACUGGGACUGAGAUACGGCCCAGACUCCUACGGGAGGCAGCAGUGGGGAAUAUUGCACAAUGGGCGCAAGCCUGAUGCAGCGACGCCGCGUGAGGGAUGACGGCCUUCGGGUUGUAAACCUCUUUCACCAGGGACGAAGCGUAAGUGACGGUACCUGGAGAAGAAGCACCGGCCAACUACGUG
rnacentral:rRNA from 1 species